rnacentral:rRNA from 1 species
GAUGAACGCUGGCGGCGUGCCUAAUACAUGCAAGUCGAACGGAGAUCAGCAAUGGUCUUAGUGGCGAACGGGUGAGUAACGCGUUGGUGACCUGCCCCGAAGCGAGGGAUAACAGACCGAAAGGUUUGCUAAUACCGCAUAAUCUAGCGAGAGAUUAGAAGCUUGCUAAGAAAGCUGAAAAGCGCUUUGGGAGGGGCCUGCGACCCAUCAGCUAGUUGGUAAGGUAACGGCUUACCAAGGCGAUGACGGGUAGGGGACCUGAGAGGGUGGCCCCCCACAAUGGAACUGAAACACGGUCCAUACACCUACGGGU